rnacentral:SRP_RNA from 1 species
GAGAGGUUGGCGCGGGCGAGCGCCUCGCCAACCCGGUCAGGUCCGGAAGGAAGCAGCCGUAACGAGCCCCGCUUGGG